rnacentral:lncRNA from 10 species
AAUGACACCAUGAAAUUCUGCAUUGAUUUGCCAGAUUCACAGACUUUCUUUACAACCCACUUGCAUUUUGAUGGCUUUAUGGUGUUGAGUAGGAAAGCUAGCAUGGAGAUGAAUAAGGAAUCAUCUUUUUCUUAAAAAUUUUUUUGUUGGGACAGCUUUUGCUGCCCCACAGCAACCACUUAAAUGUAGGAACUCCAGCAGUGUACUGGGAUCAUUAGGACAGCCUGAGUCAUGAUGACCUCAUUUUGCAGUUGAAGAAGUGGGGGCCCUGAAGAUUUCAUGACAUCUACCCAGGUAGGAACAGCUCCUAUAGGCAGUCAGGGGUUACAGGCAGGUUUGGGUCAAAUACCUGAAACCAACCCCAGGACAAGGAGGUUGCUGGUGUUUUAUUAACACCUACUGUGAGCCAAGGACUCUGCUCAGCAGUUUACCCACCCAGUAACACUGCGUGAGAUUGUGGCUGAAGAAACAGAUGCAGAGAGGCGAAGUGAUUUUCCUGAAAUCACAUGGCUAGAAGCUGGAUUCUCUUCCCUGGCCAAGUCUCUGAGAUCUUCUCCCAGGGCGAUGCAAAGCUACUCGCUACCAGCUUGGACCUGU